GACGAACGCUGGCGGCGUGCCUAAUACAUGCAAGUAGAACGCUGAAGGAGGAGCUUGCUUCUCUGGAUGAGUUGCGAACGGGUGAGUAACGCGUAGGUAACCUGCCUGGUAGCGGGGGAUAACUAUUGGAAACGAUAGCUAAUACCGCAUAAUAGUAGAUGUUGCAUGACAUUUGCUUAAAAGGUGCACUUGCAUCACUACCAGAUGGACCUGCGUUGUAUUAGCUAGUUGGUGGGGUAACGGCUCACCAAGGCGACGAUACAUAGCCGACCUGAGAGGGUGAUCGGCCACACUGGGACUGAGACACGGCCCAGACUCCUACGGGAGGCAGCAGUAGGGAAUCUUCGGCAAUGGACGGAAGUCUGACCGAGCAACGCCGCGUGAGUGAAGAAGGUUUUCGGAUCGUAAAGCUCUGUUGUAAGAGAAGAACGAGUGUGAGAGUGGAAAGUUCACACUGUGACGGUAUCGUACCAGAAAGGGACGGCUAACUACGU
rnacentral:rRNA from 1 species